GUCUUUUGAGCGGAAUUCUCUCGGAGACAUUUAGCUUCCAGGUAGUUGUCCGAUCAGCUGAUCGGACAAUCUUUCCGACGAAAUUCCACGCAUGCAAUUUGCAUGCGAUGUUUUGCAAUGAAGUAUUUGUUUGGUUUUAUUCUUGACACAAUUUGCCGAAGUCCUCCGAAAAGUUUUUGUUGCGGAAAGUGUUUUCUAUAGCAAAACGAAAAAACAAGCGCUCAGCAAUAUGAGGGAAUGGUAAAUCUGAUGAGCGAAUAUCCAGACAUAGCUCAAAACUAUACAAAAAGGUCACCAGAAAUUGUGGCUGUGUUUUGGGAAGAUCUGGCCAAUCAGUUAAAUCCAUUGGGACCAAGGCAAAGGGAUGUUGGUGAAUUGAAAAAGUUUGGAGUGACUAUAAGUCUUACAUUAAAAAAAAACUCUCGGCAAAUAAAAAAGAAAUAGCGGGUACUAGUGGAGGACCAUGCAGGCAAAAGUCUUUCACCCCUUAAGAGGACGCUGUGAUAGCCUUAACAAAUAUUGGCAGCUCUGUAAGGGCAUUGGAGCUGCAUCAUUUGGAGCAGGAAGCACAGCACGCCAAGUGCCACCUCGGGAAUCUUCCACAUCAAAUACCGCUGCCGCUGAUGAGAACACAAAAGAGGACAAUCGACCAUCACCUGUGCAGCACCAAAACUCAGCCGAAAAUUGGACCAGACGCUGAAUUCGAUUCAGCUUUUAACAAAACAGAUUAAAAAUCAAGAACAUUUUUAUAAGGGCACAACCAAAACCUUAAGAAGGGUUUCUCGAUCACUCGAAGAUGUUUGCAAAAUUAAAAGAGAAAAACUAAAAGAGACGCAAACUUACAACACUGACAUGAG